rnacentral:rRNA from 1 species
UACGUAGGGUGCUAGCGUUGUCCGGAUUUAUUGGGCGUAAAGAGCUCGUAGGCGGUCCGUCACGUCGGCUGUGAAAUCCCGAGGCUCAACCUCGGGUCUGCAGUCGAUACGGGCAAACUAGAGUAUUGCAGGGGAGACUGGAAUUCCUGGUGUAGCGGUGAAAUGCGCAGAUAUCAGGAGGAACACCGGUGGCGAAGGCGGGUCUCUGGGCAAUAACUGACGCUGAGGAGCGAAAGCGUGGGGAGCGAACAGG